GACGAACGCUGGCGGCGUGCCUAAUACAUGCAAGUCGAACGCUUCUUUCCUCCCGAGUGCUUGCUCUCAAUUGGAAAGAGGAGUGGCGGACGGGUGAGUAACACGUGGGUAACCUACCCAUCAGAGGGGGAUAACACUUGGAAACAGGUGCUAAUACCGCAUAACAGUUUAUGCCGCAUGGCAUAAGAGUGAAAGGCGCUUUCGGGUGUCGUUGAUGGAUGGACCCGCGGUGCAUUAGCUAGUUGGUGAGGUAACGGCUCACCAAGGCCACGAUGCAUAGCCGACCUGAGAGGGUGAUCGGCCACACUGGGACUGAGACACGGCCCAGACUCCUACGGGAGGCAGCAGUAGGGAAUCUUCGGCAAUGGACGAAAGUCUGACCGAGCAACGCUGCGUGAGUGAAGAAGGUUUUCGGAUCGUAAAACUCUGUUGUUAGGGAAGAACAAGGACGUUAGUAACUGAACGUCCCCUGACGGUAUCUAACCAGAAAGCCACGGCUAACUACGUG
rnacentral:rRNA from 1 species